GCACGCGCACGCGCACGACGCCGCGGGGCGCCCCCGGCGGCCCCACGCCCUCCCCGGCCCUGCGGCGGGACCGCGCACGCGCACCACGCCGCAGGUCCCGGGAUCUCUCCUGGCGCCCGCCGUCCGCCUGGGUCUCAACCUCGGGGGCGGGAGCCUGUCCCGCGCAAUUGCGAGACCUGCUGCUGGCCGACGCCGACUUUCAGCAUCUGCGCCGGGCAGAACUGUUCUUCCACUUGGCCCUUUAUAAAGGCCGUGCGCCCUAGAGCAGAGAAAGGAGCUCGCGGGCGCGAGCGGGCCACGUGGACCCCGCCGGGCGGACUCUGGCCCCUUCUGCCGGGGCCCCUCCAGUUCUAGGGACGGGACCUGUAACGAUCCUGGCUCCGCUCCAAGAACGGGACACAGACGCAGACAGGGGCAAGGUGCAUGCCGAGGGUCACCUGGCAAGUUGGUGGCGCCGCUUCAGGCCCUUCCUGAGCCAAUAAACCGUGCCUGACCUAUCCAGAAGCGGUAAUGGAAGCAAACAGACAGCAAAAACCACGUUGGACGCGCCAGUAAGAUCUGUGUCUUUAGUCAUCCCACCCACCUGAGUUCCAGGGUCCAUUCCAAUUUUGUAGCUACCCUCCCCACUGAGCUCAUUCUGGAGCCCUGGGCUUCCCUUCCCUCCGGGUCUCAGGCUCUUUCUGUAAAACACUCUGUGGCUGGACUGAAAUAGACAUGCAAACUCUUGCACCCUGAUGUUCUAAGAAUUUCUGACUUCUCUUACACUGAGGCCUAUGUAUAAAUACACUGUACACAAUUUUUGAACCAAAAAUGAGGACGUGUCUGAAGAAGGAGGUAUUUUUUCCGUAAUUAUUUACAUGAAAGGGCUUAUACAGUCAUAUAGUGAUUACAAAUGUAAACGGUAACCUUCGCUGGAGAUAAUUAAGUGACAUUAAAAGGCAACACUCCGCAAA